UUAAGCGACUAAGCGUACACGGUGGAUGCCCUGGCAGUCAGAGGCGAUGAAGGACGUGCUAAUCUGCGAUAAGCGCCGGUAAGGUGAUAUGAACCGUUAUAACCGGCGAUUUCCGAAUGGGGAAACCCAGUGUGAUUCGUCACACUAUCAUUAACUGAAUCCAUAGGUUAAUGAGGCGAACCGGGGGAACUGAAACAUCUAAGUACCCCGAGGAAAAGAAAUCAACCGAGAUUCCCCCAGUAGCGGCGAGCGAACGGGGAGGAGCCCAGAGCCUGAAUCAGCAUGUGUGUUAGUGGAAGCGUCUGGAAAGGCGCGCGAUACAGGGUGACAGCCCCGUACACAAAAGCGCAUGUGCUGUGAGCUCGAUGAGUAGGGCGGGACACGUGGUAUCCUGUCUGAAUAUGGGGGGACCAUCCUCCAAGGCUAAAUACUCCUGACUGACCGAUAGUGAACCAGUACCGUGAGGGAAAGGCGAAAAGAACCCCGGCGAGGGGAGUGAAAAAGAACCUGAAACCGUGUACGUACAAGCAGUGGGAGCACCCUUCGGGGUGUGACUGCGUACCUUUUGUAUAAUGGGUCAGCGACUUAUAUUCUGUAGCAAGGUUAACCGUAUAGGGGAGCCGGAGGGAAACCGAGUCUUAAUUGGGCGUUAAGUUGCAGGGUAUAGACCCGAAACCCGGUGAUCUAGCCAUGGGCAGGUUGAAGGUUGGGUAACACUAACUGGAGGACCGAACCGACUAAUGUUGAAAAAUUAGCGGAUGACCUGUGGCUGGGGGUGAAAGGCCAAUCAAACCGGGAGAUAGCUGGUUCUCCCCGAAAGCUAUUUAGGUAGCGCCUCGUGAAUUCAUCUCCGGGGGUAGAGCACUGUUUCGGCUAGGGGGCCAUCCCGGCUUACCAACCCGAUGCAAACUGCGAAUACCGGAGAAUGUUAUCACGGGAGACACACGGCGGGUGCUAACGUCCGUCGUGAAGAGGGAAACAACCCAGACCGCCAGCUAAGGUCCCAAAGUCAUGGUUAAGUGGGAAACGAUGUGGGAAGGCCCAGACAGCCAGGAUGUUGGCUUAGAAGCAGCCAUCAUUUAAAGAAAGCGUAAUAGCUCACUGGUCGAGUCGGCCUGCGCGGAAGAUGUAACGGGGCUAAACCAUGCACCGAAGCUGCGGCAGCGAACGUAUCACCCAAGACAACUUUACGGAGUUGACGAUUGACGGAGCGAAGCGACGUCAAAGCGUUCAUUAAAGUCGAGUUGGCUUAGGGAUACGUUCGUUGGGUAGGGGAGCGUUCUGUAAGCCUGUGAAGGUGUGUCGUGAGGCAUGCUGGAGGUAUCAGAAGUGCGAAUGCUGACAUAAGUAACGAUAAAGCGGGUGAAAAGCCCGCUCGCCGGAAGACCAAGGGUUCCUGUCCAACGUUAAUCGGGGCAGGGUGAGUCGACCCCUAAGGCGAGGCCGAAAGGCGUAGUCGAUGGGAAACGGGUUAAUAUUCCCGUACUUGGUGUUACUGCGAAGGGGGACGGAGAAGGCUAUGUUGGCCGGGCGACGGUUGUCCCGGUUUAAGCGUGUAGGUGUGUGUUCCAGGUAAAUCCGGUUCACUUUAACACUGAGGCGUGACGACGAGGCACUACGGUGCUGAAGCAACAAAUGCCCUGCUUCCAGGAAAAGCCUCUAAGCAUCAGGUAACACGAAAUCGUACCCCAAACCGACACAGGUGGUCAGGUAGAGAAUACCAAGGCGCUUGAGAGAACUCGGGUGAAGGAACUAGGCAAAAUGGUGCCGUAACUUCGGGAGAAGGCACGCUGACACGUAGGUGAAGUGAUUUACUCAUGGAGCUGAAGUCAGUCGAAGAUACCAGCUGGCUGCAACUGUUUAUUAAAAACACAGCACUGUGCAAACACGAAAGUGGACGUAUACGGUGUGACGCCUGCCCGGUGCCGGAAGGUUAAUUGAUGGGGUCAGCGUAAGCGAAGCUCCUGAUCGAAGCCCCGGUAAACGGCGGCCGUAACUAUAACGGUCCUAAGGUAGCGAAAUUCCUUGUCGGGUAAGUUCCGACCUGCACGAAUGGCGUAAUGAUGGCCAGGCUGUCUCCACCCGAGACUCAGUGAAAUUGAACUCGCUGUGAAGAUGCAGUGUACCCGCGGCAAGACGGAAAGACCCCGUGAACCUUUACUAUAGCUUGACACUGAACAUUGAGCCUUGAUGUGUAGGAUAGGUGGGAGGCUUUGAAGUGUGGACGCCAGUCUGCAUGGAGCCGACCUUGAAAUACCACCCUUUAAUGUUUGAUGUUCUAACGUGGACCCGUAAUCCGGGUUGCGGACAGUGUCUGGUGGGUAGUUUGACUGGGGCGGUCUCCUCCUAAAGAGUAACGGAGGAGCACGAAGGUUGGCUAAUCCUGGUCGGACAUCAGGAGGUUAGUGCAAUGGCAUAAGCCAGCUUGACUGCGAGCGUGACGGCGCGAGCAGGUGCGAAAGCAGGUCAUAGUGAUCCGGUGGUUCUGAAUGGAAGGGCCAUCGCUCAACGGAUAAAAGGUACUCCGGGGAUAACAGGCUGAUACCGCCCAAGAGUUCAUAUCGACGGCGGUGUUUGGCACCUCGAUGUCGGCUCAUCACAUCCUGGGGCUGAAGUAGGUCCCAAGGGUAUGGCUGUUCGCCAUUUAAAGUGGUACGCGAGCUGGGUUUAGAACGUCGUGAGACAGUUCGGUCCCUAUCUGCCGUGGGCGCUGGAGAACUGAGGGGGGCUGCUCCUAGUACGAGAGGACCGGAGUGGACGCAUCACUGGUGUUCGGGUUGUCAUGCCAAUGGCACUGCCCGGUAGCUAAAUGCGGAAGAGAUAAGUGCUGAAAGCAUCUAAGCACGAAACUUGCCCCGAGAUGAGUUCUCCCUGAGACUUAGAGUCUCCUGAAGGAACGUUGAAGACGACGACGUUGAUAGGCCGGGUGUGUAAGCGCAGCGAUGCGUUGAGCUAACCGGUACUAAUGAACCGUGAGGCUUAACCUU
rnacentral:rRNA from 1 species